CACUCCGAGUUGCGCGUUACCCUUGGUGAUACAUCGUGAUAAGCGAAAUAACAACUUUGAAGCCAUAGCUGCAGUUGCACAGUAGCUAAUAGACGUACUUAUAGACAUGGCCAGGUACAUCCUUCAAAGUGAUACUACUCCUUUGAGUGGGAAAAAAGCACCGUAGACUGAGUAAUCCCUCUAGUAUGCUCAGUUAUUGCUGUUGCGUGCAAAAGAUAAUUUUACUUGUACUUGUAGUAUAAUGCCGAAGAUUAGAGCUGGCCGACGUCACCAUCUCUAUAAAAGCAAAAAUUCCGAAUGAAAGCGUCAAACACUUCAGACAAUCACCAACACCAUUGAUAAUCGGGAUGCCAUUGAUCUAUUUGAAGGUCUGAAACAAGAAUUGUCGUCAUCGCUGUUAAGUGGCUGGCAUGUAUUUGCUAACUCUGACACAAUACAGAUGUCUUCGGUUUCUAAUUCGCCACCAGAACCUAGUGUUGUUCGCAUAAUUCUAACUGUGCACAAACAUUUUAAAUGGGCUGUACAUGUGUACGGAAAGGUUGUACCCUCGAACAGUGGCUUUGUAAAAAAAUUUCCAACAUGCUUUAAAAACCAAAGAAGAAGUACACCACAUUUGUAUAAGCCUACAGGGAGCUGCUUUAUGCGAAGGAAACAAUGAUGACUGCUUUAUUGAGUUGGUAGUGAAGAGAGGUGCAUGGAGUUGUCAAGAAUCGUGCAGCAACAACUGUUUUACAGCUUUCUUGGAUGAAAAAAAUCACACUGUUCGUCACCAGAAGAACUGUGAGAUUAUUCUAGCCGAAAAGGGCCAAUGUAGUGCCUGUCAUAAUUACAGGCCAACACUCUGUGCUAUGUACUCCAAAAAGGAAUCCUCUCAAUCAAGCAAGACAUCAAGCAGUAGUCAUGCUAAUUAUCGGUAUCUACAACGCAGUGAGCUUACAGACACACAUGCAGAGAAAAAAGACGUGCUGAUUUAUCAGAAAACCGUGCUAAACAAAUUAAUGUCUCCAGUUUUAGCACGUUUACACAUGUGCUAAACAACCUGAUGUGCUAAACAACCUGAUGUGCUGAAUUCUAAUGUGCUGAAACAGUUGUGCUGAUUGUAUUGUGCUAAUUAAAUCACAUUAGAAAAACAAUACAUCAAUACAGUAUUAAAAUUAUAUUAAACAAACGAUGAGGAUAUAAAAGUGAAAUGUUUUUUUAAACAUAGUUAGUUAACCAUAGCAAGUCUGCACUCAGUUCACUGCAACUGUAAGAUACUGCCUUUGACUUCUCAGCAUCACCUGCAUGCGUGAAGUAGAAAAAUAUGUCACAUAAAGCCAGUACAAUUAUAACCAAGGGUGUAUAUACGCCCUUGUUAUAACCAAGUAUAAAGUGCGUAUAGAUUAGGUACAUAACAUCAGUCAUAGCAUGAACAAAGUAAGAUUGUUCCACUGAUAGCAUUCACUAGUCUGUUGACAGGAGGUGGGGUUAUUCACAGCAUUGCAAUGAAACUUAUAAUGGGGCGAAAUAAGAAAAGCCUUUGCUGCGAUCCAUGACAAAUGCCGAGUGCAUAAAAAAGUACAUGAGCCAAAAGCAAAGAAUUGUAGCUACAUGCAGAAGAGUCAUAUAACACAGAUAGGACCAAGAGGAAGAGUACGCUACUCCAAUAGACGAGGCAAACUCACUAUUGCAUGUAACCACAGCCAUGCACUUGAGAUACAACAAUAACAAUAACAAUUCUGAUAAGAAAAGCAAUUAGUGGUAAUCAUCACUAACGUUUAUUCAUCCAUUCAUCGCAGAUUAAUUUUAAAAUUUUACAGUUUAUACAACAACAUGUGGUUGUGAUGUAUAGGUUAGACAGAAUGCUUACUACGGUUAGUGGGAGUUGCAUACUCUUCCUAAUGAACUCUCAUUAUAGUCGUUUUUACACACAAUUAAGUUUGCGAGACUAUAUAAUAGUUAGACACUGUUUAGGAAGUUUCUACAUGAUUUAGAAGCCCAAAGGGCUGGUUGUAGUAUCCUGAACGCAGUGAGGGUUCUACUAGCCCUGAGGACUUCUAAAUUAUGUGGAAACUUCCUAAACAGUGUCUAAGCAUUUUAGAUCAUAGCAACCAUGAGUAUUUAGCCAAUCAGAUUUAAAUGUUCUUAUCUAAUCUUUGCUACAUGAUUUUCUAAGUGAAGUACAUGAUUUUCUAUUGAAGUACAUGAUUUUCUAAAUUGGAUAGAACAUUUCCUCUAACCAAUCAGAUUGCAGUAUUUAUGACAAACAUGAUCUAAAUAAUAGUUAGACACUGUUUAGGAAGUUUCUACAUGAUUUAGAAGCCCAAAGGGCUGGUUGUAGUAUCCCGAACGCAGUGAGGGUUCUACUAGCCCUGAGGACUUCUAAAUCAUGUGGAAACUUCCUAAACAGUGUCUAAGCAUUUUAGAUCAUAGCAACCAUGAGUAUUUAGCCAAUCAGAUUUGAAUGUUCUUAUCUAAUCUUUGCUACAUGAUUUUCUAAGUGAAGUACAUGAUUUUCUAAAUUGGAUAGAACAUUUCCUCUAACCAAUCAGAUUGCAGUAUUUAUGACAAACAUGAUCUAAGAGUAUUUAGCCAAUCAGAUUUGAAUGUUCUUAUCUAAUCUUUGCUACAUGAUUUUCUAUUGAAGUACAUGAUUUUCUAUUGAAGUACAUGAUUUUCUAAAUUGGAUAGAACAUUUCCUCUAACCAAUCAGAUUGCAGUAUUUAUGACAAACAUGAUCUAAAAUAAUACAAAUGAGUUCUUGUUAUGCUAUUAUAGAGCAGCAUCAAUAUUUGGGCCCAUCAAUUAUCUCGUAUAGAGAGCAGAUUGAGAAGUUGUCUUCCGCCGACAAUAAUCGUUGUAAGGGCUAAACAACAAAGCUUAAUACGAAAGUUUAAUUUAACAAUGUGUGUAUAAAAGCUAGCUAUGUAGCUUUAUGUUAUGUAGCUUUGGCACCUCUACCGAGGCAUCAGCACCUGUGGUGCUUUCAUUAUUGUAUAUUUACAAUGAUGUCAUUGCACAAAUCCUAGCAAAAUAACACCGAUACGGUAUUUCAUUAUUGGUGACACCACAUAAUAUAAUAUAGUAGAUAGUCUUGAUUUCCAGAGGACGUGGCCAGACUACAUGUAUUCUAGAUGAAUAAAAACAUUAAUAACAAAAAUAGAUGCAUGUCUACUGCACAAAAAAAUUUAAACUAAGAAAGUAAUCUAGUUAUGUAUGCAGUCACAUUUCAAUGGUUUUCACGAAAGUACCUUUCAAUGUUUCUAACUAUGUCCCCUCUUUUCAGCUUGCGGACAAUAUCUAAAAGUGCUUGAAACGUUGCUUUUUCAGGCUCUCUUUUCUUCCAGCAUGACAAACAGUAAAGUACUGCCUUUUGUGCAUGUACUGGUAUUGUCUUUUUUCGCUGCAUCAGAUUUUUCGGCGGGGGUAAGUUCUAGUAAGUCAACAAGAAAGUCAACACAGUCAAAAAAAUCAGCCAAAUGAACGAGAUCAGAUGAUGGUAUCUCCAUGCUAUGAGAGUUGACUGCUAGACCUGAGCUUCUCUUUGUUGAGCUCUCUUGAAUUCCGUCAAGUUCACCUACAGAACAAUGAUGUGAAAGCCUCAAACCUUAUCAAUUAUUGUACAGUGACACAUACAGCCAGGAGUGCAUGAAUAGCCUAUAAAUAAAAAGUAUGCUAUUAUUGUGUAUUUAGGUACAUACAGCUGUUUGCACAGACCUUGCAAAAUACUAAAUCAUUCACUGCAUUACCACAAACCACUAUACAAUGUUGCUAUGCAAACAAUUAGAUAUAGAGUGGAAAUCUCCAAAGAGGUACGUUUGCUCUAGUGGGAGGAGCUUCUUUCGAUACGUUUGCUUGAGGCCAUCGAUGACAUUGUUAAUUGUAGACGUCUGCCACAUCACGUUGUUUCUUGUUGCCUGAGAGCCAGGAGAACAUGGUUGCCUACUGGGAGGGUCCUGCAGGGGAUACAAAUAAAGCUUUAGCCUCGAUUCCAAGCCGCUGAGAAAGACGGCCUGGUAUACACUGUUUACGCAUGCGCCAGAAUUACCCAGAAUCUGGGUAAUCGUAAAUUGCAGUAUAUUUAUCAGUAUUCUUAUUCCGCAUUAGUUUGUAAAACAUUGAUAUCCGUUUCAUUUAUAAUGAUGUCAUUGAAAAAAGAAAUCUAGUCCAAGUUGUGUAAUGGCUGCUGCCUUCUCUUCUGCUCUCGCGUACGCGUUAUCCUGUGUUGGAAAACCAGGUCUAGUCUUGAGAGACAAGCAGUUGGAGGCGUUGAAGUGUCUGUACGCUGGUGUUUAUGUGGGUACCGUACAGACCGGCUAUGGCAAGUCCCAGAGCAAGUCCAUCUGCUUUCCAGACACUCUCUUUCUUGAUUGAUGUGAAGCUUGACAGGACCAGUGCACCUCUCUCUGAAAGAAGUGUUGUGAUGGUGAUUUCUCCUCUUGUUUCUCUGAGUGAAGCCAUCUUCAAAGUGUUGGUGUGUCUGUUCGACGUCCAGUGCCAUUCUCUCUGGAAGGAAGUAUUGUUGUGACAUUUGCCGAAAAUUGGUCACAGAGUAAGUACGUGGUAUCUGAUCCGAUCGAGAACUGUGUGGCCUGAAUGUGUUUACAAUCCGAGGGACUUAUGUGUAUCCGAUCCGAGGGACUUGUUGCUUGAGUGUGUAUUAAUGGAUAGUGCUUUCAAUGGUUUAACUAAUUUCUUAUGAGAUUAACUUGUCGCCUGAGUGUGUAUCCGAUCCGAGCCUCAAGUUAAUGAAUAAAUCUACAGACCUGAUGUUUUACUUAGCUGUCUCUGUCUACAGUAUAUACAGAGAGGUAGCCUCUUCUUUUUCUUUUUACUGUUCUUUAUCACAAUAACUGUUUUAAGGUUCAAUGAGAUAAAAUACGGUAAAUAAUAAAUUAAUUGUCCACCCACGCGCCAACAGUAAAUACCAGGCCCACUAUUCAAGGGGCUGGAGUCGAGG